GCCGGGGAGAUAGCGGUGCCCUGUACCUGCAAUCCGCUCCAGCAGGGGUGAUGCCUUGCCUCGGGCCGUUUGCUGCAGAGCUGCCUUUUGUAAGUGGCGUUGACGUUUGGGUCUUGCGCAACGGGAAUCCUUGAACCGUGUCAGGGCAGGAAUGCAGCAGCACUAAGGGGAAGCUCUCGUGUGCCGCAAGGCAGCCUGGGCCGAGCUAACUGCAGGAGUAACGUCUGUGGCG
rnacentral:SRP_RNA from 1 species